UACGAAGGGUGCAAGCGUUACUCGGAAUUACUGGGCGUAAAGCGUGCGUAGGUGGUUCGUUAAGUCUGAUGUGAAAGCCCUGGGCUCAACCUGGGAAUGGCAUUGGAAACUGGCGACCUAGAGUGCGGUAGAGGGUAGUGGAAUUCCCGGUGUAGCAGUGAAAUGCGUAGAGAUCGGGAGGAACAUCCGUGGCGAAGGCGGUGUGCUGGGUUGCAACGUGACGCUGAGAUGCGAAAGUGUGGGGAGCAAACGGGG
rnacentral:rRNA from 1 species